GAUGAACGCUGGCGGCGUGCCUAAUACAUGCAAGUCGAGCGAACGGACGAGAAGCUUGCUUCUCUGAUGUUAGCGGCGGACGGGUGAGUAACACGUGGAUAACCUACCUAUAAGACUGGGAUAACUUCGGGAAACCGGAGCUAAUACCGGAUAAUAUUUUGAACCGCAUGGUUCAAAGGUGAAAGACGGUCUUGCUGUCACUUAUCGAUGGAUCCGCGCUGCAUUAGCUAGUUGGUAAGGUAACGGCUUACCAAGGCAACGAUGCGUAGCCGACCUGAGAGAGUGAUCGGCCACCCUGGAACUGGACCGCGGUCCAGACGCCUGCGGGAGGCAGCAGUAUGGAAUCUUACGCAGUGGGCGGAAGCAUGACGGAGCAACGGCGCGUGAGUGAUGAAGGUCUUCGGAUCGUGAAACUCUGUUAUUAGGGAAGAACAUCUGUGGAAGGAACUGUGCCCAUCGUGACGGUACCUAAUCAGAAAGCAACGGCUAACUACGUG
rnacentral:rRNA from 1 species